rnacentral:piRNA from 1 species
UUCAGCAUACAUGGCUACAGACCU